rnacentral:rRNA from 1 species
UACGUAGGGGGCGAGCGUUGUCCGGAGUUACUGGGCGUAAAGGGCACGCAGGCGGUGCGGCGCGUUUCGCGUGACAGCGGAGGGCUUAACUCUCCGAGGAUGCGAAAGACGGCGGCACUUGAGGGCCAGAGAGGGACGCGGAAUACCAGGUGGAGCGGUGAAAUGCGUAGAGAUCUGGAAGAACACCAAAGGCGAAGGCAGCGUCCUGGCAAGUCACUGACGCUCAGGUGCGAAAGCUAGGGGAGCGAACGGG